rnacentral:tRNA from 1 species
AUCAAUAUAGCUUUAUGAGAAAAGUUUUAGAUUUAGGAUCUAUAGAUGGUUAUUAUCCUGUUGAUG